GAUUUACAAUAACUUAGCAAAUCGCAUAGUGAAAACUGGCGAUAAAUCAUUCAAGUUUCUGACCUAUCAGCUUUCGACGGUAUGGUAUUGGCUUACCGUGGCAGUGACGGUUAACGGGGGAUUAGGGUUCGAUUCCGGAGAGGGAGCCUGAGAAACGGCUACCACAUCUAAGGAAGGCAGCAGGCGCGCAAAUUACCCAAUUCUAACAGCAUGAGAGAGGUAGUGACAAGAAAUAACAAUACAAGGCAGUUAAAAUGCUUUGUAAUUGGAAUGAUAGAAAUUUAAACACUUUUUAAAGUAUCAAUUGGAGGGCAAGUCUGGUGCCAGCAGCCGCGGUAAUUCCAGCUCCAAUAGCGUAUAUUAAAAUUGUUGCAGUUAAAAAGCUCGUAGUUGAAUUUCUGUUAAAAAUAACCGGUCUGCUUUUAAUAAAAGUGGUAUCUUGGUGUGUUUUUAGCAAUAAUGUCCUUUGAAAUGUUUUUUACUUUAUUGUAAUAGAUUAUAUUCAGGAUUUUUACUUUGAGAAAAUUAGAGUGUUUCUAGCAGGCUAACGCUUUGAAUA
rnacentral:rRNA from 1 species